UUCGAACCUUCGCCGUUUAUUGGAAAAUUUACUGGCCGACUUCUGGCUGGCGUCGGUUGACUUCCUUUUCUUCCUCCACGUUCGCAAGAUAUCAGUCUCGCUGGGGCAUCCUUUGUUCCUUCCUCGAGGCCCGGGAAGAACUUCUCUCCCAGCCUCCAGUAUUCAAUUAUCUCUGACGGAUCUCGAGGAACGCCCAUCUCUCGAGGUGCCUUUACUACCUGACUUUCCGACACUCUCCUGCAAAAAGGGAGGCCGACGGAUUUUAACGCCCUGGCAGUUUUUGGAAGGACGAGUUUUGGGACACCUGUUCCCUCGGGACUUCCUCCAGAAUUCUGAAAUAAAGGACAUAUCAAUCCGGGAAACCCAGGAUAAAAAUCACUGGAAGCUUUUCAUCAUUUAAGGCGAGAUAUAGCGACUUUACGAAUGAAGUUAAUUCCAAAAUUCAAGGUGAGAGGCAGCGGACCAAUCAGGAGCGAGAUCCGCGGCGGCGGACCAAUCAGAGUGCAG
rnacentral:lncRNA from 1 species